rnacentral:SRP_RNA from 1 species
GAACAGCACCCUUGCGGCGCGCUCGGAGUGAACUCCGCCAGAGUCGGAAGGCAGCAACGGUAGCUUUUAUGCGCGGGUGUUGAGGUGUUGUUGUUCAGC